GGUUCGGCGGUCAAGGCAUAGUGGUCAAGUGUCUUGACCACAGGACAAAUAGCCUGGUGGCGGUGAAAAUUCUGGGCAUUCCAGUGAGCGCCAAUCAUGCCAAUCUCCAGAGGAGGGAGAUAGAGAUCGGGAAUCAAGUUCAGGCGUGGGACACCGACGACUCCAACAUAAUCAAGAUGUUGGAUUGGUUUGAGUUCAGAAAACACUACGCCAUCGUCUUGGAGCUCUUGAGCGGAACCCUGGAUGACCUGAAUCGUCGCCGGAAUGCCGAGCCCCUUCGGAUGGAGGAGGUG